rnacentral:rRNA from 1 species
GAUGAACGCUGGCGGCGUGCCUAAUACAUGCAAGUCGAGCGAACAGACGAGGAGCUUGCUCCUCUGACGUUAGCGGCGGACGGGUGAGUAACACGUGGAUAACCUACCUAUAAGACUGGGAUAACUUCGGGAAACCGGCGCUAAUCCCGGAUAAUAUAUUGAACCGCAUGGUUCAAUAGUGAAAGACGGUUUUGCUGUCACUUAUAGAUGGAUCCGCGCCGCAUUAGCUAGUUGGUAAGGUAACGGCUUACCAAGGCAACGAUGCGUAGCCGACCUGAGAGGGGGAUCGGCCACAUGGGAACUGAGACACGGUCCAGAGUCCUACGGGAGGCAGCAGUAGGGAAUCUGCCGCAAUGGGCGGAAGCCUGACGGAGCAACGCCGCGUGAGUGAUGAAGGUCUUCGGAUCGGAAAACUCUGUUAUUAGGGAAGAACAAAUGUGUAAGUAGCUGUGCACGUCGUGACGGUACCUGGUCAGAAAGCCACGGCUAACUACGUG